rnacentral:rRNA from 1 species
AGAGUUGAUCCUGGCUCAGGAUGAACGCUAGCUACAGGCUUAACACAUGCAAGUCGAGGGGAAACGAUAGUUGGAAGCUUGCUUCCGAUAGGCGUCGACCGGCGCACGGGUGAGUAACGCGUAUCCAACCUGCCCACCACUUGGGGAUAACCUUGCGAAAGUAAGACUAAUACCCAAUGAUAUCUCUAGAAGACAUCUGAAAGAGAUUAAAGAUUUAUCGGUGAUGGAUGGGGAUGCGUCUGAUUAGCUUGUUGGCGGGGUAACGGCCCACCAAGGCGACGAUCAGUAGGGGUUCUGAGAGGAAGGUCCCCCACAUUGGAACUGAGACACGGUCCAAACUCCUACGGGAGGCAGCA